rnacentral:lncRNA from 1 species
CCCCAUUGUGUUCUCAGGUACGCUUCCUUGUUCUUCCAUGGCAAGUUCAAAGCUUCCUGAUGUUGUUAACCUUGAGUCGCAUAUUACACCCUCCAACAUAACUAAGUAUAUUUCCCAGAGACUUUUAGAUGCUCCGUUGUAUCUCAUUCGAGCACCUCUUUCAAAUGAAAGGAUAGUCCUUCCUUACCCUCCCCCUCCGGGUUUGGUGGAUCCCCAAGAGGGUCGUCGUAUAGUGUUUUUCUUGAAGCAGAGAGAAUUCGGUCUACCGUUUCCUUUU